AUUGAACGCUGGCGGCAUGCCUUACACAUGCAAGUCGAACGGCAGCACGGGAGCAAUCCUGGUGGCGAGUGGCGAACGGGUGAGUAAUAUAUCGGAACGUGCCCAGUCGUGGGGGAUAACGCAGCGAAAGCUGUGCUAAUACCGCAUACGAUCUACGGAUGAAAGCGGGGGAUCGCAAGACCUCGCGCGAUUGGAGCGGCCGAUAUCAGAUUAGCUAGUUGGUGGGGUAAAGGCCCACCAAGGCGACGAUCUGUAGCUGGUCUGAGAGGACGACCAGCCACACUGGAACUGAGACACGGUCCAGACUCCUACGGGAGGCAGCAGUGGGGUAUUUUGGACAAUGGGCGCAAGCCUGAUCCAGCAAUGCCGCGUGCAGGAUGAAGGCCUUCGGGUUGUAAACUGCUUUUGUACGGAACGAAACGGCCCUUUCUAAUACAGGGGGCUAAUGACGGUACCGUAAGAAUAAGCACCGGCUAACUACGUGCCAGCCGCCGCCGUAA
rnacentral:rRNA from 1 species